AUUGUAAUGUAGCUGCCAUGAUAGUGGUAACGGUUACAAGCCCGUAUAGAUACAGAGUACAGU
ncrna:unclassified sequences type-P1 twister ribozyme